rnacentral:pre_miRNA from 1 species
UCAUGAUCAUAGAACAAGAGACAAUAGGGAGAAAGGUCUCUUUUCUGUGAUCAUGAAG